rnacentral:rRNA from 1 species
UACGAAGGGGGCUAGCGUUGUUCGGAAUCACUGGGCGUAAAGGGCGCGUAGGCGGCUUUGUAAGUCGGGGGUGAAAGCCUGUGGCUCAACCACAGAAUUGCCUUCGAUACUGCAUGGCUUGAGACCGGAAGAGGUAAGUGGAACUGCGAGUGUAGAGGUGAAAUUCGUAGAUAUUCGCAAGAACACCAGUGGCGAAGGCGGCUUACUGGUCCGGAACUGACGCUGAGGUGCGAAAGCGUGGGGAGCAAACAGGG